rnacentral:tRNA from 1 species
AAAACUUUAAGUUAAAUAAACUAUUAACCUUCAAAGUUAAAAAUAAAAAAUUAAUUUUUAAGUUUUA